rnacentral:rRNA from 1 species
UGGGGAAUUUUGGACAAUGGGCGCAAGCCUGAUCCAGCCAUGCCGCGUGCAGGAUGAAGGCCUUCGGGUUGUAAACUGCUUUUGUACGGAACGAAAAGGCUCUCUCUAAUAAAGGGGGCUCAUGACGGUACCGUAAGAAUAAGCACCGGCUAACUACGUGCCAGCAGCCGCGGUAAUACGUAGGGUGCAAGCGUUAAUCGGAAUUACUGGGCGUAAAGUGUGCGCAGGCGGCGUCGCAAGUCGAGUGUGAAAGCCCCGGGCUUAACUUGGGAAUUGCGCUCGAAACUACGGUGCUGGAGUAUGGCAGAGGAAGGUGGAAUUCCACGUGUAGCGGUGAAAUGCGUAGAGAUGUGGAGGAACACCGAUGGCGAAGGCAGCCUUCUGGGCCAAUACUGACGCUCAUGCACGAAAGCGUGGGGAGCAAA